rnacentral:rRNA from 1 species
AAAGUCGUAACAAGGUUUCCGUAGGUGAACCUGCGGAAGGAUCAUUAGUGAAUUUAGCGUUUCUCUUAACAGAGCGCGACCCUCCACUUUCUUAACUCUGUGAACUUUUUUGGUCGAGCAUUAGGAACUUUGGUGGACUUUUAGUAGUCGGCCUUGGGAAGUUUUGCUUGACGGCUCAUUUUAAACACUAGUACAAGUAUGUAACGAAAUAUCGAAAUAUAAAAGAACUUUCAACAACGGAUCUCUUGGCUCUCGCAUCGAUGAAGAACGCAGCGAAAUGUGAUAAGUAAUGUGAAUUGCAGAAUUCAGUGAAUCAUCGAAUCUUUGAACGCACCUUGCGCUCCCUAGUAUUCUGGGGAGCAUGUCUGUUUGAGUGUCAUGAACUCUUCAACUCUAUCGUUUCUUGUUAAACGAUUAGAAGUUUGGAUUUUGAAUGUUGCUGGUCCUUUGUGAUCUUAGCUCGUUCGUAAUGCAUUAGCAUUUUCUAAUUCGAAAUUCGGAUUGACUCAGUGUAAUAGACUAUUCGCUGAGGACACUAGUAAUAGUGGCCGACCUUUCACCUUAAGAAAAGCUUCCAACUUUUGUAGUCAAUUUUAGAUUAGACCUCAGAUCAGGCAGGAUUACCCGCUGAACUUAAGCAUAUCAAUAAGCGGAGGA